rnacentral:rRNA from 1 species
GACGAACGCUGGCGGCGUGCUUAACACAUGCAAGUCGAACGGAAAGGCCCUGCUUUUGUGGGGUGCUCGAGUGGCGAACGGGUGAGUAACACGUGAGUAACCUGCCCUUGACUUUGGGAUAACUUCAGGAAACUGGGGCUAAUACCGGAUAGGAGCUCCUGCUGCAUGGUGGGGGUUGGACAGUUUCGGCGGUUGGGGAUGGACUCGCGGCUUAUUAGCUUGUUGGUGGGGUAGUGGCUUACCAAGGCUUUGACGGGUAGCCGGCCUGAGAGGGUGAACGGCCACAUUGGGACUGAGAUACGGCCCAGACUCCUACGGGAGGCAGCAGUGGGGAAUAUUGCACAAUGGGCGGAAGCCUGAUGCAGCAACGCCGCGUGCGGGAUGACGGCCUUCGGGUUGUAAACCGCUUUCGCCUGUGACGAAGCGUGAGUGACGGUAAUGGGUAAAGAAGCACCGGCUAACUACGUG